CACCAUCACAUUGGUUGCCACGCCCUAAAGCAUACCCUGCAUUAUUGUCUAUUUUACUCUAAAU